rnacentral:rRNA from 2 species
UGGGGAAUAUUGCACAAUGGAGGGAACUCUGAUGCAGCGACGCCGCGUGAACGAAGAAGGCUUUCGAGUCGUAAAGUUCUUUUAUAUGGGAAGAUAAUGACGGUACCAUAAGAAAAAGCCCCGGCUAACUACGUGCCAGCAGCCGCGGUAAUACGUAGGGGGCUAGCGUUGUCCGGAAUCACUGGGCGUAAAGGGUUCGCAGGCGGAAAUGCAAGUCAGGUGUAAAAGGCAGUAGCUUAACUACUGUAAGCAUUUGAAACUGCAUAUCUUGAGAAGAGUAGAGGUAAGUGGAAUUUUUAGUGUAGCGGUGAAAUGUGUAGAUAUUAAAAAGAAUACCGGUGGCGAAGGCGACUUACUGGGCUCAUUCUGACGCUGAGGAACGAAAGCGUGGGUAGCAAACAGG